CAUGUAAAUUCCCUGUAAAACAAUAAUUAGUCUUUCUUACUGUGUUCGCAUCAAUUUGCGCUGAUUUUAUGUGUCCAGAGAUGAGAGGAAAAAGGACAGUGAGUGGAUGGAAAUAACUGGAAACAGCUAGUCUAUGAUUAUAAUGAACAAGAAGACUAUGGUGAGGACGAUGGUGCUGAUCAGUGGGUCCGGCACACCAGCUUUGUACUUGAGCACGACGCCAAGACCCACCACAGCGUUCAAGAGAGUCCACCAGGCGAACACCGUCAAGCCGUUCUGGGCUAUUUCCACUGGUGACAUACUGGGUUCACUGGGACUGUAAAGUGGCCGUUUGUGAUGCUUCCAUGUGACCAGGGCGAUGCGUGCCACGAACAUGACGCAGGAAAUAGCCAGGAUCGAAGCUGAAGAGGGAAAAGGAGAUUAGA